GAGGAGAGGAGGGUAAGAACAGGAGGAGAGGAGGGUAAGGAGGAGAGGAGGGUAAGAACAGGAGGAGGGAGGAACAGGAGGAGAGGAGAGUAAGGAGGAGAGGAGAGUAAGAACAGGAGGAGAGGAGGGUAAGAACAGGAGGAGAGGAGGGUAAGAACAGGAGGAGGGAGAAACAGGAGGAGAGGAGAGUAAGGAGGAGAGGAGAGUAAGAACAGGAGUAGAGGAGGGUAAGAACAGGAGGAGAGGAGGGUAAGAACAGGAGGAGGGAGAGUAAGGAGGAGAGGAGAAACAGGAGGAGAGGAGGGUAAGAACAGGAGGAGAGGAGGGUAAGAACAGGAGGAGAGGAGGGUAAGAACAGGAGGAGAGGAGGGUAAGGAGGAGAGGAGGG
ensembl:lncRNA